AAAGUAAUAUAUGAGAAAAUAAAAAUCUUGUUUUUUCUUCACACCGCAAAAUAUCCUCCCAAAAUCUAGCGCCGUCGUUGGCGAUUGCGUUCACCGUCGGUUACUCUCAUCUUCUUCAAUCAAGCCCAGAACUUGAUUGUCUCCUUGAAACCUUCUUCUCGUUCUUGUCGCCGUUAGCAAUCCAAGUAUUAAUUUCUGAUCCUCCCCUUGCCGACGAAUCUGGUAAGUUAGAUAAGGCGAGAUCUGGGAAUUUCCUCAAACUCUGUGGAUUCUGCUUCGUCCGUCUAGUGUUUUUAAAAGAAACAAGAGGUUUGUUCAUAUUUUGCAUGUUAUUUAUAGCUGGUUCAUGUUUUUUAUAUAAAUAACAUGUUAUGUCUACUCUAUAAG